UACGUAGGGCGCAAGCGUUGUCCGGAAUUAUUGGGCGUAAAGAGCUCGUAGGCGGUUUGUCGCGUCUGCCGUGAAAGCCCGGGGCUUAACUCCGGGUCUGCGGUGGAUACGGGCAGACUAGAGGCAGGUAGGGGAGAACGGAAUUCCCGGUGUAGCGGUGAAAUGCGUAGAUAUCAGGAGGAACACCAGUGGCGAAGGCGGGUCUCUGGGCCGAAAUUGACGCUGAGGGGCGAAAGCGUGGGGAGCGAACAGG
rnacentral:rRNA from 1 species